rnacentral:rRNA from 1 species
GCUAAUACAUGCAAGUCGAACGAAGAGCUUCUUGUAAUUUAUUACUGGAUGUUUCUUAGUGGCGAACGGGUGAGUAACGCGUUGGUGACCUGCCUCGAAGUGUGGGAUAACUCCGGGAAACUGGAGCUAAUACCUCAUGUGAACACUUUUUUUAGAAAUUAGUGUUUAAAGGUCUUCGGAUCGCUUCGAGAGGGGCCUGUGUCCCAUCAGCUAGUUGGUAGGGUAAUGGCCUACCAAGGCGACGACGGGUAGGGGGCCUGAGAGGGUGACCCCCCACAAUGGAACUGAAACACGGUCCAUACAUCUACGGAUGGCAGCAGUAGGGAAUAUUGCACAAUGGGCGAAAGCCUGAUGCAGCAACGCCGCAUGUGCGAUGAAGGCCUUCGGGUUGUAAAGCACUUUUCUGAGGGAAGAGGAAGGACGGUACCUCAGGAAUAAGUCUCGGUUAACUACGUGCCAGCAGCCGCGGUAACACGUAGGAGGCAAGCGUUAUCCGGAUUUACUGGGCGUAAAGCGCGUGCAGGCGGUUCGGUAAGUUGGAUGUGAAAGCUCCCGGCUCAACUGGGAGAGGCCGUUCAAUACUGCCGGACUAGAGGACGGUAGAGGAAGGUAGAAUUCCCGGUGUAGUGGUGAAAUGCGUAGAUAUCGGGAGGAAUACCAGUGGCGAAGGCGGCCUUCUGGGCCGUUCCUGACGCUAAGACGCGAAAGCAUGGGUAGCGAACGGGAUUAGAAACCCCGGUAGUCCAUGCCGUAAACGAUGCAAACUUGGUGUUGGUGGUGUAAAAGCCAUCAGUGCCGCAGCUAACGCGAUAAGUUUGCCGCCUGGGGGAUUACGGCCGCAAGGUUAAAACUCAAAGGAAUUGACGGGUUCCCGCACAAGCAGCGGAGCGUGUGGUUUAAUUCGAUGCUACGCGAAGAACCUUACCUGGGCUUGACAUGUGGGUGGUAGGAUCCGAAAGUGACCGACCCUCCGGGGAGCCUACACAGGUGCUGCAUGGCUGUCGUCAGCUUC